AGCGAACGCUGACGGCAGGCUUAACACAUGCAAGUCGAACGGGCACUUCGGUGCUAGUGGCAGACGGGUGAGUAACGCGUGGGAACGUACCUUUCGGUUCGGAAUAAUACAGGGAAACUUGUACUAAUACCGGAUACGCCCUUUGGGGGAAAGAUUUGUCGCCGAUUGAUCGGCCCGCGUCUGAUUAGCUAGUUGGUGAGGUAAUGGCUCACCAAGGCGACGAUCAGUAGCUGGUCUGAGAGGAUGAUCAGCCACACUGGGACUGAGACACGGUCCAGACUCCUACGGGAGGCAGCAGUGGGGAAUAUUGGACAAUGGGCGCAAGCCUGAUCCAGCCAUGCCGCGUGAGUGAUGAAGGCCUUAGGGUUGUAAAGCUCUUUUGUCCGGGAAGAUAAUGACUGUACCGGAAGAAUAAGCCCCGGCUAACUUCGUGCCAGCCGCCGCCGUAAGAC
rnacentral:rRNA from 1 species